rnacentral:rRNA from 1 species
AUUGAACGCUGGCGGCAGGCUUAACACAUGCAAGUCGAGCGGAGUGAUGGUGCUUGCACUAUCACUUAGCGGCGGACGGGUGAGUAAUGCUUAGGAAUCUGCCAUUUAGUGGGGGACAACAUUCCGAAAGGAAUGCUAAUACCGCAUACGUCCUACGGGAGAAAGCAGGGGAUCUUCGGACCUUGCGCUAAAUGAUGAGCCUAAGUCGGAUUAGCUAGUUGGUGGGGUAAAGGCCUACCAAGGCGACGAUCUGUAGCGGGUCUGAGAGGAUGGGCCGCCACACUGGGACUGAGACACGGCCCAGACUCCGACGGGAGGCAGCAGUGGGGAAUAUUGGACAAUGGGCGGAAGCCUGAUACAGCCAUGCCGCGUGUGUGAAGAAGGCCUUUUGGUUGUAAAGCACUUUAAGCGAGGAGGAGGCUACUAGUACUAAUACUACUGGAUAGUGGACGUUACUCGCAGAAUAAGCACCGGCUAACUCUGUGCCAGCAGCCGCCGUAAAAC